CCUUCAGCUGACAGUUUAUCCACAAAAAUAAACAACAACAAAACACCGGGAAGAGUACCGUAACCUGUACCGUAACCUGCCCAGGCCCAUCAAAUUUGGCCUUUUGAGACUCUAGUUUCCUAUAUUACAUGUUACAGGGUUGAAGAACCUCAGUGGAAAACUCGUGUUUUUGAUCAAAGAAAACUAAAAUAAGUAACUAGUACCAAGAGCCAAAGUGAAAUUUACUUUAAGCUAAGGAGGCAUUUUGAAAAUGUAUGCUUUGCGUCUUUAUCACAAAAACUCAGAAGAAGAAUACAUUAAGUGACUAAA